rnacentral:rRNA from 1 species
CCUACGGGAGGCAGCAGUGAGGAAUAUUGGUCAAUGGCCGCAGGGCUGAACCAGCCAAGUCGCGUGAGGGAUGACGGUCCUAUGGAUUGUAAACCUCUUUUGUCAGGGAGCAAAGGGCGCCACGUGUGGCGCUUUGCGAGUACCUGAAGAAAAAGCAUCGGCUAACUCCGUGCCAGCAGCCGCGGUAAUACGGAGGAUGCGAGCGUUAUCCGGAUUUAUUGGGUUUAAAGGGUGCGCAGGCGGAAUGUCAAGUCAGCGGUAAAAUUUCGGGGCUCAACCCCGUCGUGCCGUUGAAACUGGCGUUCUUGAGGGAGCGAGAAGUAUGCGGAAUGCGUGGUGUAGCGGUGAAAUGCAUAGAUAUCACGCAGAACUCCGAUUGCGAAGGCAGCAUACCGGCGCUCAACUGACGCUCAUACACGAAAGCGUGGGUAUCGAACAGGAUUAGAUACCCCUGUAGUC